CCUACGGGAGACAGCAGUGGGGAAUAUUGCGCAAUGGGCGAAAGCCUGACGCAGCGACGCCGCGUGAGGGAUGAAGGUCUUCGGAUCGUAAACCUCUGUCAGCAGGGAAGAACGGUCACUGUGCUAAUCAGCAGUGAAUUGACGGUACCUGCAAAGGAAGCACCGGCUAACUCCGUGCCAGCAGCCGCGGUGAUACGGAGGGUGCGAGCGUUAAUCGGAAUUACUGGGCGUAAAGCGCUCGUAGGCGGUAUGUCAAGUCAAGGGGGAAAUCCCCGCGCUCACCGUGGGAACUGCCUUUGAAACUGGAAAACUGGAGUGUGUGAGAGGAUAGUGGAAUUCCAGGUGUAGGAGUGAAAUCCGUAGAUAUCUGGAGGAACAUCAGUGGCGAAGGCGACUAUCUGGCACAUAACUGACGCUGAGGAGCGAAAGCGUGGGUAGCAAACAGGAUUAGAUACCCUGGUAGUC
rnacentral:rRNA from 1 species